rnacentral:lncRNA from 1 species
AACUCAAGAGUUGCGUACACACUUCUCAACAAUACACCCUACCACACGCCAUCCUCGCUUCCCAUUCCCGCCUUUUCCUCCCCUCACGUUACCGCCCGUCACUCACCGCCCCCUGCCAACCAACCUUUUUCAGCCCACCACUCAGCAGCUUCGUCAUCAUCCCUUAUCUCACCGCCCGUUACUCCAUCUUAUUCCAUCAUCAUCCUUCUCCGUUUCCAUCGCCUAUAAACUUUCUCACUCAAACCUCUCCUCCUUCCAUUCCAUGUCUUUCCGCUCACUACUGUCAUCAAAAUGUUGAAGUCGACGGCGUCGUUUCAGCUCACGGUCUUCCUCCUGUCGCUUCUGCUGUGUUCUUCGGCGGCGGAGGAGGAUUACGCUGACUUGGCCAAGUCCAAUUUCCCGUCUGUUCAGGCCCAGAAAUUCAUCAGAGAUCUCAAUCUCUUCCCCAAGGAGGAUGUCAAUGUCGUGAAAGCUUUCGGUGGACUCCUCGGGNNNNNNNNNNNNNNNNNNNNNNNNNNNNNNNNNNNNNNNNNNNNNNNNNNNNNNNNNNNNNNNNNNNNNNNNNNNNNNNNNNNNNNNNNNNNNNNNNNNNNNNNNNNNNNNNNNNNNNNNNNNNNNNNNNNNNNNCAGCAUUGAGCAUUCUCAUGCCGCCAAGUCAGUUCCUUUUCCCCCCCUUUUCUGUUUUUCCUUAGUUUUCUGUGGAGUAAGUUGGUAUAUGAUGGCGUGGCUGCUUUCUGAAUUGGGGGAAAAUUGGUGGUGUUUUCUGAUUUUAGGUUUUAGCUGAAUUGAUUGUGCGCAGGAGAUGCAGCUGCAUGUGCUUAUCAGUGUUGAUCUUUAUUAGAACUUUGUCUGCUAGUACAGUGAUUUUUGUCAUUUUCCAAGUAGAUGCUUGUUAGGUUGCUGGAUACAUGGUGACUCUUCAUUACAAGGCUAACAAAUUGUUGAUGUUGGGCUGUGUAGGAUGUUUUAUUUCUUCUUCGAAUCCCCCAAAAGCUUAUCAGUAUAACCAUUUCUCCAACAUCUACUCUAGUAUCGAUCUAAUUUGCUGCAAUCUAUCUUGCCGAAUUUCCCUGUUUAGCAUUCCAAUUUUCCGUAGGACAUGGGAUCAUGGAAACUCUGGUUCAAGCUGUCCACAAGUAUAAAAGAAUGUUUUUUCUUCCAAAAACUAAAGUGCUCAUAGGGCAUGGGUCAUGAACUCUGGUUCUCUUUUUUUUCCCCGCCUUUCUGCUACUUCAGCUCUGCAGCAGGUUACUAAGGAUGGAUGGAGUAGUUAACUGGUGUAACCAUUUUUGCAGGCAUCAAAUCUUAUAUAUGUUGAUCAGCCGACUGGAACUGGGUUCAGCUAUAGCUCUGACAAACGUGACAUUCGACAUGAUGAAGAUGGAGUUAGUAAUGACCUCUAUGACUUCUUGCAGGUAAGUUUCUUUUUUUUGGAUAAGUCAGCUUGUGAGCUCAGAUCUACCAUCUUGAUAUUCGGCUGAGUGGUUUUAAGUAACGUUUUUUUUUAUAUAUAUAGUUCCUGCAAGUAUAAAGACCAUUAUCUUCUAAGUCGUUGGUUUCUUCUGUUUUAACAUUAUCGUUAGAUAAGAUUGAUAGCUAGUUCCUCUUCUUAACCUCUAUGUUGAAUUAAUAUUUUAGGCCUUUUUCAAAGAGCAUCCUGAACUCGCAAAGAAUGACUUCUACAUCACUGGAGAAUCAUAUGCUGGCCACUACAUUCCUGCUUUUGCUUCUCGAGUUCACAGAGGGAACAAAAAUAACGAAGGGAUUCACAUUAACUUCAAGGUUUGUUGUUGAUAUUUCUGAAUUUGAAAGAGAUUUCUGCUCUACUUAUAUCUUCUUAACACAAAGUAAAAACAUUAUGCAGGGUUUUGCCAUCGGUAAUGGCCUUACAGAUCCUGGAGUGCAGUAUAAGGCUUACCCAGAUUAUGCACUAGAGAAUGGGAUAAUCAAGAAAGCACAAUAUGAUAAAAUUACCAAGAUGAUCCCGGUGUGUGAGAUGGCUAUUAAGCUUUGCGGUAAUGUCACAUUCCAGUAAUCCUGCCCUUGGCUUUGUCAUACUUAUUAAAAUCCAUAUGUUGUAUCUUCACAUAAUAUAUGAUGAUCCAGAAUCUUUCUCAUCAGCCUGGACUUAACACUAAUACACUAUUAUUACUGAUUUAUCUGUGUGAAAUUUAUUUGUAGAGUUCUUGAGGUUAACUUGAGGUUUUAUUAUGCUAUUGUUGAUAUAAAGCUCCAGGAAUCCUAUCAUCAAUGUUAAUUUCUAUUAUCCAGUUUAAUAAUAUACAUUUCUUUUUGGUUUCAGGAACUGACGGGUCCAUCUCUUGUAUGGCAUCCUAUUACGUUUGCACUGGCAUAUUUAAUUCUAUCAUGUCUGCUGCUGGCGGUAUAAAUGUAAGGUUCUCAACUCAUCCGUAUAUGAACUGUUCUGUUUACAAACUACUCUGAACUAGUUCAGUACUGCCCAUUUAUGCUUCUGACGAUUGGAUUUCAAAUUUAUUAUCGAACUUAUAUCGGUUAUGAAUACCGUUAGGGAGUCUCUCGGAACUGACUGGCACUUGUACUAUCGCUGCAGUAUUACGAUAUCCGAAAGCAAUGUGAAGGGAGCCUUUGCUAUGACUUCUCCAACAUGGAAAAAUUUCUCAACCUGAAUACCGUUAGGGAGUCGCUCGGUGUGGAGGAUAUAGACUUCGUAUCGUGCAGCCCAACUGUGUACGAGGCCAUGUUAAUGGACUGGAUGAAGAACCUCGAAGGGGGAAUCCCUGCUCUCCUUGAGGAUGGAAUCAAAAUGCUCAUAUAUGCUGGAGAAUAUGACCUCAUCUGCAAUUGGCUCG